UUGUGUUAGGGAUUGUAGUGGCAUCCUUUUUAAACCAUAGUAAAUAAGCUAUUAUUAUGGGGCGGUAUAAAAAUUAUAUUAAAUUGAAAACCAGCUUUUAAGAACGUUUAAAAAGAUAUAACGGAAAGCCCGACCACGC
rnacentral:sRNA from 1 species